GGCUCAGGACGAACGCUGGCGGCGCGCCUAAUACAUGCAAGUCGAACGAGAAUGCGUAGCAAUACACAUGUAAAGUGGCGAACGGGUGAGGACUACAUGGGUAACCUACCCUCGAGUGGGGGAUAACCAGCCGAAAGGUUGGCUAAUACCGCGUACGCUUCCCGGACUGCGGUUCGGGAAGGAAAGCGAUACCGUGGGUAUCGCGCUCUUGGAUGGGCUCAUGCCCUAUCAGCCUGUUGGUGAGGUAACGGCUCACCAAGGCAUCGACGGGUAGCUGAUCUGAGAGGAUGAUCAGCCACACUGGCACUGCGACACGGGCCAGACUCCUACGGGAGGCAGCAGUAAGGAAUAUUGCGCAAUGGGCGAAAGCCUGACGCAGCGACGCCGCGUGGGGGAUGAAGGUCUUCGGAUUGUAAACCCCUUUCGGGAGGGAAGAUGGGAUGGGUAACCAUUCGGACGGUACCUCCAGAAGCAGCCACGGCUAACUUCGUGCCAGCAGCCGCGGUAAUACGAAGGUGGCAAGCGUUGUUCGGAUUUACUGGGCGUACAGGGAGCGUAGGCGGUUAGGUAAGCCCUCCGUGAAAUCUCCGGGCUUAACCUGGAAAGUGCAGAGGGGACUGCUUGGCUAGAGGAUGGGAGAGGAGCGCGGAAUUCCCGGUGUAGCGGUGAAAUGCGUAGAGA
rnacentral:rRNA from 1 species